rnacentral:rRNA from 1 species
UGGGGAAUAUUGCACAAUGGAGGGAACUCUGAUGCAGCGACGCCGCGUGAACGAAGAAGGCUUUCGAGUCGUAAAGUUCUUUUAUAUGGGAAGAUAAUGACGGUACCAUAAGAAGAAGCCCCGGCUAACUACGUGCCAGCAGCCGCGGUAAUACGUAGGGGGCUAGCGUUGUCCGGAAUCACUGGGCGUAAAGGGUUCGCAGGCGGAAAUGCAAGUCAGGUGUAAAAGGCAGUAGCUUAACUACUGUAAGCAUUUGAAACUGCAUAUCUUGAGAAGAGUAGAGGUAAGUGGAAUUUUUAGUGUAGCGGUGAAAUGCGUAGAUAUUAAAAAGAAUAACGGUGGCGAAGGCGACUUACUGGGCUCAUUCUGACGCUGAGGAACGAAAGCGUGGGUAGCAAACAGG